rnacentral:rRNA from 1 species
CCUACGGGAGGCAGCAGUGAGGAAUAUUGGUCAAUGGGCUUACGCCUGAACCAGCCAAGUCGCGUGAGGGAAGACUGCCCUAUGGGUUGUAAACCUCUUUUCUCAGGGACGAAGCAAGUGACGGUACCUGAGGAAUAAGCCACGGCUAACUACGUGCCAGCAGCCGCGGGAAUACGUAGGUGGCAAGCGUUAUCCGGAUUUACUGGGUGUAAAGGGCGUGUAGGCGGGAAAGCAAGUCAGAUGUGAAAACCAUGGGCUCAACCUGUGGCCUGCAUUUGAAACUGUUUUUCUUAAGUACUGGAGAGGCAGACGGAAUUCCUAGUGUAGCGGUGAAAUGCGUAGAUAUUAGGAGGAACACCAGUGGCGAAGGCGGUCUGCUGGACAGCAACUGACGCUGAGGCGCGAAAGCGUGGGGAGCAAACAGGAUUAGAUACCCGUGUAGUC